rnacentral:lncRNA from 1 species
AGAAUUAUCUAGUAUCAUUUUAACGAAUGCGAGUUUUAAUUUCGUUGCAUCAUUUGUUGUUACUCCAUUACUAUAAACAGUACCAAGCAAUGAGAAGAUUAUCCAGAACUAAGUUGCAUGCAGAUUUCAGAGUUUGAAACAGUUUAUAAAUAACCUGUUUUUUUCUUGGUCUUUAUUAUCAAGUAAAUUCUGCCAUUUUAUAGAGUAUUCUGUUACAGUAAUUUGGAAUCUUACAGGAUAUACUUUAAAGUCUUCUGAGUAAAUCUGUAUUAUAAAGGUCUGUCCUUAUUACUCGACAGUCAGGAAUUGAAUGUGUAUCUUUUUUGGCAAAUGAGACAAUUGUAUUCAAUCUUUUUUUUUCCUAACAGAUUUUUGAAAGUAGAAUUGGUGGAUUUUCCUUAGCUAUAUAUUUCUAUGCUGAAUUCGUUGUGUUCUGCAUUCAUCUAGGCUGAGCUGGAAUAUUUGCAUCAUACAUUUUCUAGUAUUUUUCAGUAUUGAUAGUCUAUAAUGACCUUGUAGUAUUUUUUCCAAGCAUACUACUUUGUUUUAUGAUAAGGUACACUGUGGGCGGAAUAUUUCUGAUACUUCUCAGGUUAUUGUUCAAGUACCAUAAUUUCUAAUGUACUGUUUUAUCCGUAGCUUUUUUUAUUGUUGUUAUGUAUUGGAAUGAAAUUUGAUCAAAUAUUAUGAUUACGGUGAGUUCUGUAUCAGUUACUGGUAAUGU